rnacentral:rRNA from 1 species
GACGAACGCUGGCGGCGUGCCUAAUACAUGCAAGUCGAACGAGUUGCGAACGGGUGAGUAACGCGUGGUAACCUGCCUCAUAGCGGGGGAUAACUUUUGGAAACGAUAGCUAAUACCGCAUACCAUUAGGUUUGGCCAGAUGGGAUUUGCUUGUUGGUGGGGUAAAGGCUCACCAAGGCGACGAUCCCUAGCUGGUCUGAGAGGAUGACCAGCCACACUGGAACUGAGACACGGCCCAGACUCCUACGGGAGGCAGCAGUGGGGAAUAUUGCACAAUGGGGGCAAGCCUGAUGCAGCCAUGCCGCGUGUAUGAAGAAGGCCUUCGGGUUGUAAAGUACUUUCAGCGGGGAGGCGUUACCCGCAGAAGAAGCACCGGCUAACUCCGUGCCAGCAGCCGCGGUAAUAC